rnacentral:lncRNA from 1 species
AAUGAUCAAUCAAUUGUAAAAAAAAUAUGUCAUAUAGUUUUGUAUUUUUCUUCUGAUUUUCUUCUUUUUAGAAAAUUCAAGAUAGGCUUAAACAUGUUAAAUGAGUUCAUUAAUCAUGUAUAACUAUUUAUUAAAAUAUCAUUACAAAAUUGUUAAAAUUUCUUAAAAAUUUGCUAUAAUAUUUAUUUUUGAGUUCAGUUGAUAGUGGAAGGGAGCAGGACAAAGGGAUUGUCUUUCCCAGUGGUCUUUUUUUUUGGCGAACAAGAAGUGUGUCUGCUUAGUUACUUGUUAAUUAGUGUUUCUCAGAUAUCUAGUAUACUUUAUUACCAAAAGUAUACAAAAUGUAAGACCUCAAAAGAAAUAAACACACAUCUAAAGAUGAUUAAUUUAUUGUAGUUUCAUGGCUUGUUACUUAUAUCUUUUUCUGGUGCUAUUUUCUGAUGCCAAAAUACAUAUGUAUAAAAGUUUUUAUAGGUUCUUUGUGAUAAAAU